UUGGAGAAGCAACAGUUGACGAUUGUGUGGCUCACGCGCGCUGAACUCACAGCGGCGUAUAUCAGUCAGUUGUCACGCGGCAAUCGGUCUAGUACGAAGUCUCACGUGUAGUUCUGCCGUCGCGAGUUCUGCCAGUGUAAAUGUUUUCGGGUACUAGUUGACGUAGUAUUAUUAGGCAUUACACUGAAUGUAUUACGAUACCUUUUUGGAUCGCUCUUCCUUAACUGUCAACAAGGACAUUCGAUGAUUGGCGUUUUGGACGGACCUAACGAUAAAAUGACUGAUGUUUAAAUGUGCAAUACUCGUAGUCAUCUGCAACCGAUUUGGAUACCAGAGAGUAUCAGGAAUACAUUUUACUCAAAAGUAGCAUCGACUGGUAGAAACAAUGAGUACUACUACACCAGGUCCUAUGGGCAUUUCUGCCGAGUUAAUAAGGGAAUUAAGAUUUGAAUGUGAAAGUCGAUUAAAUGCAACGGUUCACGAUAGUAAUAACGCAAAGAUACAUUAGUC